UACGAAGGGGGCUAGCGUUGCUCGGAAUCACUGGGCGUAAAGGGUGCGUAGGCGGGUCUUUAAGUCAGGGGUGAAAUCCUGGAGCUCAACUCCAGAACUGCCUUUGAUACUGAAGAUCUUGAAUUCAGUUGAGGUGGGCGGAAUGUGUCGUGUAGCGGUGAAAUGCUUAGAUAUGACACAGAACACCGAUUGCGAAGGCAGCUCGCUAAACUGACAUUGACGCUGAGGCACGAAAGCGUGGGGAUCAAACAGG
rnacentral:rRNA from 1 species